UGAGGAAUAUUGGUCAAUGGGCGAGAGCCUGAACCAGCCAAGUCGCGUGAAGGAAGACUGCCUUAUGGGUUGUAAACUUCUUUUAUACAGGAAUAAAAAGGCUUACGUGUAGGCCAUUGCAAGUACUGUAUGAAUAAGCAUCGGCUAACUCCGUGCCAGCAGCCGCGGUAAUACGGAGGAUGCGAGCGUUAUCCGGAUUUAUUGGGUUUAAAGGGUGCGCAGGCGGGCUUUUAAGUCAGCGGUGAAAUCUGGACGCUUAACGUCCAAACUGCCGUUGAAACUGGGAGUCUUGAGUAUGGAUGAAGUAGGCGGAAUUCGUUGUGUAGCGGUGACAUGCAUAGAUAUAACGAGGAACUCCGAUUGCGUAGGCAGCUUACUAAGCCAUAACUGACGCUCAUGCACGAAAGCGUGGGGAUCAAACAGGAUUAGAUACCCUGGUAGUCCACGCCGUAAACGAUGAUUACUAGUUGUAUGCGAUAUGAUAGUAUGUGACUAAGCGAAAGCGAUAAGUAAUCCACCUGGGGAGUAACGCCGGCAACGGUGAAACUCAAAGGAAUUGACGGGGUCAUAGCUGUUUCCUG
rnacentral:rRNA from 1 species